CACCAUAUUUCUAAUGCCUCAUAAUAUAUCAUUUUCCUUUUUGUUGUGACAUACUGUACAUAAGUUUUUCUGCAGACCUGGAGUCACCCAGACCUUCUCCAGAGUGUCACAGUUUAAAUGUCAGAAAAGUGUUUGCGACUUCCCAGUCACUGCUACUAGUGUUAGUCGUUUUUUAUUUAGCAGUUUGUGAUGUGUUGCCAUUCACCUGGUCUUGGUAGAGUCCUCCUCAUGUUUCUUCCUCAAUUUUGGCCAAUACUUUGUGUGUGUAUUCUGCAGAUGCUUCCCCCUUAACCACUUAGGUUUUUCUUGGGAUCAUUCCCAUUAACAGCACUGCUAAAAGACAGGAAACACACUGCCCCACUUUCUGCUAGGCCAUCGAGAUUGGUUGUUCUUACUCUUCAUUUCACGCGUCUAUGCUGUGCUCCAGCUGUUAGUGCAGAGCUGUUGCUGGAGCUCAUGCAGGCACAUCUGAACUGCCUUUGAACUUGUUAGCUCAGGUAAAGCUGGCAGCAGCAGGCAGUGUGGGAGGCUGUGAGCCCUCCUGGCUUGCACAGACUUCAGAUAGGUAGCUGUGAUGAUCUCUGUGCUGAUACACCUACCCUCCUGCAGUAUGGGAGCUAGCUAGCCAGAAAUGACGUACAUUGCUCCUCAACCUUCAGAUGCACCUCUGAGUGCAAUUUGUUCAUAGCCAUCAUAUCUCAGUCAGGAAGAGGGUUUAUCUGCCAUUCCAGACUGACGCAUGUGUUAAAUAGCCUUUCUGGAAAAAAAUAUUGUCACAGGUUUUGUGACAGUUCUCGUGUGUUCUAGCGACUGAUGUGAAUCCCUUGAUUCCAGCUUUUAUAGGCCUCCGUCUAACAAAAUGCAUCAUCAGUUGUUCCGUAUUAAGCUACUGUCAGAGGGAUUUUUCCCACACUCAAAUGCACAUGCAUACUCAGUGAAGGAUCUCCGUGUACAUACUUGACUGAAGAAAUAUGCUGUUUUGCAGGAUGUUGAGGCUCAGUUCCUGUGUGACCCAGCACGCAACAAGAAAGGAUUUGGAACAACCUAUGCAGUGGACAUGCUUCAGUGAAAAAGACCAGAAAUUUCUUCUAGAAUUUUAAUACAGUCGUAACAGUUAUAGGAAAGACACCUGCAGACAAAACAGUAUAUUUGUGGAGGAUUUAGUGGAAAAUGACUUGUUUUUUCUAGACUGGAAGCAUGUCAGUACUGUCUCUGUUGCUGAUGCAUUGUUUGAAGAGAGACAGUUCAACAAGCCAGUCCUUGUAAGCACUGACAGACCUUGUUGUAGGUAACUAUGGAGUUUCAGGGUGCUAUUUGUUGGUCAGUCACUCUUGUAAUCUGCCAGUUAUACUUAAUCAAAAUGUAGCUGAAGAGGCAAAAGUGGAAAACCUCUCAUUUUUAAUAUGUCUCGUAUAAUAAUUUCAAGGAGCCAGAGGAUAAGCAUUCAAUCUAAAGAUAGCACAUUCAUUAUUACUUAUUAGAUGUAAAAGCUUGUGCUAUAUGUUUAACAACUGUCUUUGUAUGUGGAGUUAUGGAAACCAAAUUGUAAAUGUUCACAUUGAGUUACUGUAAGAGUCUGCUGCU
rnacentral:lncRNA from 1 species